rnacentral:rRNA from 1 species
AUGGUGAUGGCCAGCUUCUCCCUGCAAGUCUUCCUCCUCUUCUUCUCGGGCUUCCGCAAGCGUUACUCUUCCCGAGUACUCAACGUGCUGUUGUGGCUCGCCUACCUAUCGGCCGACUCCCUCGCCAUCUACAUCCUCGGCCGCCUCACCCUCCGCUGCGGCGGCGGCAGCGGCAACAACCACCUGGCCCUCUUCUGGGCGCCAUUCCUGCUGCUCCAUCUCGGCGGACAAGAGACCAUGACAGCCUUCUCCAUGGAAGACAACGCGCUAUGGAAGCGCCACCUUCUCAGCCUCGCCACCCAGGUGCCCAUGGCCACCUACGUCGUCAGCAAGCAGCUCAGCGGAGAUAAUAAUGACCAGUGGCUCGUGGCGCCCAUGGUGCUAAUGUUCGUUGCCGGGGCGGGGAAGUACUCCGAAAGGAUCUGGGCACUCAGGAGAGCUGGCUCAGUGGCGCCCGGAACAAGCCGCUCUACUUCAAAACUCGUUUCGCGUGCGUCCAACGAAGCUGCCUGGGAGACGCCGGGGUACUAUGGUCACCUGUGCGCUGUGGUUUCCAUGAAGCAAGAGAGGAAUUUCGAGAUCAUCCUGGAUUUGGCAGCUCAGGGCUUCAAACUGAGCCUCCACUUUCUCAUGGACAUGACCCCUUCAAUCUCUCUGAUGCCUCAAAAUAUCAAGGACAUCAAGCAGGCGGUAGAGCUAUUCCAAUCUUCAGAGCACAGAGUCCACAUGGCGUACAAGCUGGCUGAGAUCAACCUCUCCUUGAUCUAUGACUACUUGUACACAAAGUUUGGCACGCGCCAUUUCCACAUGCUCCCAUUCUAUAACGUCUUCCACCGGAUGGUCGCUCUUGCCCUGCCAUCGGUGGCGCUUGGGUUGUUCGUGAGGGGAAGGAUGACCGGAAAGGGGCAUGUCCAUGACGCAGGGUUGCUCUGCGUAGCCAGGCGUCUCCAUCCAGGGAACAAAGGAGAGUGGUCGGCGAAAAUGGCACAGUACAACAUGAUCCAAGGAUGCAUCAAGGAGAAACAAGAAACUGGCUUGUUGCGGCCGGCCAUGCGUUGGGUUGGUAUCAUCGGUGAACCCCGGGCCAUCACGCAUAUCAGCAUCUCUCCUGAGCUCAAGAAGCUCAUCCUUGAUACAUUGCUAGACAUAGCGGCCACCCCACACGUCCAGGAAUGGGACAUUGGUGUUGGCAAGUUCCGUGGCCAGUGGGCGCAAUGGGUGGCUGAAACGAAGCAAGACGGUGCAAAUCAUCAUCAGGUGUUCCGGAUCUGUAACAUCCAAGGUUUGGAGUUUGUGUCAAGUGUGCUUCUCUGGCACAUUGUGACGGACAUAUGCUUGCUCGCCACCGACGAUGUUGCUGCCGUAGACGGCGAUGAGGAGCACUUAGAAGACGACGGUUCAUCUCACUCUCACCAUGAGGAUGUACAAGGCAGCUUGUCGGAGCUGAGAGGCCCUAUCAAAGAGCUGUCAGACUAUGUCAUGUACCUCGUUGCAGAUUGCGGCGCCAUGGCCGGCAGUGAAGGUCAUUACGUGGUGACUAAGGGUCAGAAAGAGGUGUCACGUUGGCUGCUGGAGAAGCACGGAGGGAGAUCUGAUGAUCGGAGGAAGGUGAUCGAGGAGAUUCGUGACGAGGACAGCUCCUUCUUCCAUGAAGACUACUACCCCGUGCUGGAUCGAGCUCGCCGGGUCGCCUCGGACCUGCUUAAGAUUGGAGAAGCAGGCGAUCGUUGGGAGCUCAUCUCCACGGUGUGGUUAGAGAUGCUUUGUUACAUUGCAUACAACUGUGGGGCUGCGUUCCACGCCAAGCAUCUGGCCACCGGUGGCGAGUUUGUCACGCAUAUCAAGAUGCUCCUGUUUAUGGCAGGCCUGCCUUUUCUGAGGGAUGUGAAAGAAUCCUUGUUUCCUGAAGUCGGGAAUAUCUACUCGUAA